rnacentral:lncRNA from 1 species
GAAGAGGGAAGAUGGCGGCGGCCGUGAACCAGCGUGGCCUUAACCAGCCAUAGUUAUGAUAUUAUAAGGCUCCUUUCCAUGUAGACCUGUGGGUGUCUGCCUGACCUGUAGUCUGAAGAUGCUCUUUCUGAAGUCUUAGGAGGGCCCCUCAGUGAGGAUGCCCGAAGCUGAAGGCUUUACUUCUGUUUCAAGGCAGUGAACAAGACGUGUGGUCUGAAGAUACACAACACCGAGACAGGACUGUGUGGUGCUCACAUGCCACGAGCAGAGUUCAAACAGCAUCCAAGCCCUAAAGACCAGAGCCAUGGACCAAUAUGGUGGAUGGCAUGUGUGCGCUUGUUCCAGAAGUGCUACUCAUCAUGGAGGCAAAUCCUGUGAGGACGUGGAAGACUUCACCUGGUUUCUCCGCUUUCCUCCCGGUGACACGGGGGAUACUUCGGGCAGAUACUGAACUGUCUGCUGCCAUUUACAGCCACAGUUACAUGGGAUUGUUUGUUCCUUCCCUGGGCUUCUACCUCUUCCUUGACUGGAACAGAAGCUAGGUGCUUAGAUAAACCUGGUCAAAUAUUUUAAA